AUUGAACGCUGGCGGCAUGCCUUACACAUGCAAGUCGAACGGCAGCACGGGGGCGAACCCUGGUGGCGAGUGGCGAACGGGUGAGUAACAUAUCGGAACGUGCCCUGGAGUGGGGGAGUAACUAGUCGAAAGACUAGCUAAUACCGCAUACGAUCUACGGAUGAAAGUGGGGGAGUCGCAAGACCUCAUGCUCGUGGAGCGGCCGAUAUCUGAUUAGCAGUUGGUGGGGUAAAGGCCUACCAAGGCAUCGAUCAGUAGCUGGUCUGAGAGGACGACCAGCCACACUGGGACUGAGACACGGCCCAGACUCCUACGGGAGGCAGCAGUGGGGAAUUUUUGGACCAAUGGGCGCAAGCCUGAUCCAGCAAUGCCGCGUGA
rnacentral:rRNA from 1 species